rnacentral:rRNA from 1 species
AGUAACUGCGAGUGAAGAGGGAAGAGCUCAUCAUUGGAAUCUGGCGGUGUUGCACCGUCCGAGUUGUAGAUGAGGAGUAGUUCGUCUGGACUGCAUGGCAUCCAAGUACAAUAGGCCGUCAGUGGGACAUCAUAGAGGGUGACAAUCCCGUCCUUGAUGCCAAUGUACAAGUCCUUUACGAUGACUAUCUCAGAGAGUCGAGCAGUUUGGGAUUUGCUGCUUAAACAUGGGAGGUAGAUUCCUUCUAAAGCUAAAUACAGGCGAGAGACCGAUAGAGAACAAGUACCGCAAGGGAAAGAUGAAAUAGAACUCUGUGAAGGGAGUCAAAAGGCGUGAAAUUGUUGCGAGAGAAGCGAUUCAAGUCAGCGUAGCUAGGCCCAUCAAGCUUUACCGCUUUGGACUAGCUUUGCCAGCGGUCUUGUCCUAGAGACUUGACUUUGUAUGCCCAGCCUGGUCUAUACAGGUAGCCCCCUUUGGGGGCCAGCGGCAUCGCUGGUGGAAUGGCUUGCAAUCGACCCGUCUUGAAACACGGACCAAGGAGUCUAACAUGUAUGCGAGUAUAAGGGUGGCAAACCCGUAUGCGCAAUGAAAGUGACUUUCGUUGAUUGAGAAUGGCCUGACGACCAGACAAGCAAUACAUGUCCCUCGAACGGCCAUUGCCCAAGUUCCGUGGUAGACCCCACGAACAUGGAGUUGGAGCAUACAUGCUAGGACCCGAAAGAUGGUGAACUAUGCCUGGACAAAGCGAAGCCAAAGGAAACUCUGGUGGAGGCUUGUAGCGAUUCUGACGUGCAAAUCGAUCGUCUGAUCUGGGUAUAGGGGCGAAAGACUAAUCGAACCAUCUCAUAGCUGGUUCCUGCCCAAAUUUCCCUCAGGAUA